GAUGGCUUUUUGUGAGAAAAAGUCAAAGGUUUUUCCCAAAAAUGAAGACAAGGCAGAAGACACGGUCGUGCCACCUUCUGAACCCCAACAGAGUACCAUCAGCACUGAAAAAUGUGAAGUCAAGGACGUUGGUGUCCAGACAGAGGUUUCCUGCCCUCCAA